UGGCGACGGGUGAGUAACGCGUGGAAAACCUGCCGUAUACUGGGGGAUAACACUUAGAAAUAGGUGCGUAAUACCGCAUAAGCGCACAGCUUCGCAUGAAGCGGUGUGAAAAACUCUGGUGGUAUACGAUGGUUCCGCGUCUGAUUAGCUAGUUGGUGGGGUAAUGGCCUACCAAGGCAACGAUCAGUAGCCGGCCUGGAGAGGGUGAACGGCCCACAUUGGGACUGAGACACGGCCCAAACUCCUACGGGAGGCAGCAG
rnacentral:rRNA from 1 species